GCGCUGAUAGCUCAGCUGGAUAGAGUGUCUGGCUACGAACCAGAAGGUCGGGGGUUCGAGUCCCUUUCAGCGCACCA
rnacentral:tRNA from 1 species